UUUUAACUAUUGGUUUAUAAUAUAAUAUGGCAUUUCUAAUUUUCAGUUUUAAAUGACUAUUCUCCUGUGGAAGAAGACACAAAUGAGCCAGAAAUCCCAGAAUCUGGUCCAGGAAAUGCAGAACAGCCUGACCAUAUAGAAGAAGAAGAAUUAGAGAGAGAAGACUUCAAUGAAAAUACUGAAACAAUUGAUCGUCCAGAACAAAUACAUGAACGUGAUGCAGAUGUUUCAGAUUCUGUUACUGAACCUGUUCAAUCAGGUAGAUAUCCAUGAAUUA